UACGUAGGGGGCAAGCGUUGUCCGGAAUCAUUGGGCGUAAAGCGCGUGUAGGCGGCCAGAAAAGUCCGCUGUGAAAACUCGGGGCUCAACUUCGAGCUGUCGGUGGAAACUUUCUGGCUAGAGUCCGGAAGAGGAGAAUGGAAUUCCUGGUGUAGCGGUGAAAUGCGCAGAUAUCAGGAAGAACACCCGUGGCGAAGGCGGUUCUCUGGGACGGUACUGACGCUGAGACGCGAAAGCGUGGGGAGCGAACAGG
rnacentral:rRNA from 1 species